rnacentral:rRNA from 1 species
AUACGGAGGACGCGAGCGUUAUCCGGAUUCAUUGGGUUUAAAGGGUGCGCAGGCGGCCGUGCAAGUCAGCGGUGAAAGCCCGGGGCUCAACCCCGGAAGUGCCGUUGAUACUGCAUGGCUGGAAUGCGGUCGAGGCGGGCGGAACGGGGCGUGUAGCGGGGAAAUGGGUAGAUAUGCCCCCGAAGCCCGAUAGCGGAGGCAGCUCGCCAGGCCUGCAUUGACGCUCGGGCACGAAAGCGUGGGGAUCGAACAGGAUUAGAUACCCUGGUAGUCCACGCCGUAAACGAUGGGCGCUCGUCGUCGGCGGCAGACAGUCGGCGGCCAAGCGAAAGCGAUAAGCGCCCCACCUGGGGAGUACGGUCGCAAGGCUGAAACUCAAAUGAAUUGGCGGGG